AGCUUCUACAAGGGGGUCUCCCAGGUCUUCAACAAGGUCCUCUAGGGGGGGUUCAACAGGGUUUAGGGCAAUUCAUAGGAGGAAUAAUUCCAACAAUCCAACAGGUAUUUGGACACGUUCUCGGGGCGGUGGGAGUCGCCAAACAGGCCCUUGCAAGACCUGCUACGACCUCAGCUGAUGGAAUUUCG